rnacentral:rRNA from 1 species
AGAGUUUGAUCCUGGCUCAGAUUGAACGCUGGCGGCAUGCCUUACACAUGCAAGUCGAACGGCAGCACGGAGCUUGCUCUGGUGGCGAGUGGCGAACGGGUGAGUAAUAUAUCGGAACGUACCCUAGAGUGGGGGAUAACGUAGCGAAAGUUACGCUGAUACCGCAUACGAUCUACGGAUGAAAGUGGGGGAUCGCAAGACCUCAUGCUCAUGGAGCGGCCGAUAUCUGAUUAGCUAGUUGGUAGGGUAAAAGCCUACCAAGGCAUCGAUCAGUAGCUGGUCUGAGAGGACGACCAGCCACACUGGAACUGAGACACGGUCCAGACUCCUACGGGAGGCAGCAGUGGGGAAUUUUGGACAAUGGGCGAAAGCCUGAUCCAGCAAUGCCGCGUGAGUGAAGAAGGCCUUCGGGUUGUAAAGCUCUUUUGUCAGGGAAGAAACGGUUGUCUCUAAUACAGAUGGCUAAUGACGGUACCUGAAGAAUAAGCACCGGCUAACUACGUGCCAGCAGCCGCGGUAAUACGUAGGGGUGCAAGCGUUAAUCGGAAUUACUGGGCGUAAAGCGUGCGCAGGCGGUUAUGUAAGACAGAUGUGAAAUGCCCGGGCUUAACCUGGGAACUGCAUUUGUGACUGCAUGGCUAGAGUUUGGCAGAGGGGGGUAGAAUUCCACGUGUAGCAGUGAAAUGCGUAGAUAUGUGGAGGAACACCGAUGGCGAAGGCAGCCCCCUGGGUCAAGACUGACGCUCAUGCACGAAAGCGUGGGGAGCAAACAGGAUUAGAUACCCUGGUAGUCCACGCCCUAAACGAUGUCUACUAGUUGUCGGGUCUUAAUUGACUUGGUAACGCAGCUAACGCGUGAAGUAGACCGCCUGGGGAGUACGGUCGCAAGAUUAAAACUCAAAGGAAUUGACGGGGACCCGCACAAGCGGUGGAUGAUGUGGAUUAAUUCGAUGCAACGCGAAAAACCUUACCUACCCUUGACAUGGCUGGAAUCCUUGAGAGAUUGAGGAGUGCUCGAAAGAGAACCAGUACACAGGUGCUGCAUGGCUGUCGUCAGCUCGUG